GAUGAACGCUAGCGGCAGGCCUAAUACAUGCAAGCCGAACGGUAAGAUUUGUAGCAAUACGAGUCCUAGAGUGGCGUAAGGGUGCGUAACACGUAUGCAAUCUGCCCGCAACUGGAGGAUAGCUCGGGGAAACCCGGAUUAACCCUCCAUAAGAUCACACAAUGGCAUCAAAGAGUGAUUAAAUCUCCGGAGGUUGCGGAUGAGCAUGCGGUUGAUUAGCUAGUUGGUAGUGUAACGGACUACCAAGGCAAUGAUCAAUAGGGGGAACUGAGAGGUUG
rnacentral:rRNA from 1 species